GGAACACAAAUCAAACACUCGAAUCUCGUAAUUUGUAAAGGUCCAGUGUGUUACAACCACUCUAAAAGAAGAACUUGCUGCAGCCGAAUCAGCCUUGGCCUAAACAUCCAGGUGACGCUUCCUUAUACAAACUCAACUGAAGGCCAAGAAGAAUAAAGAGGCGAUGCCUCAUGACCAGCUCUCUCAACUUUAUAAACUUCACCCUAUGAUGAAGCGUAGAAAGCGAGCAACCGACCUAACACAAUCAAAUCUAAAAGCUGAGUGGAAUCAACUCAAGGACUUAUUGUCUUGAUCCCUUC
rnacentral:lncRNA from 1 species